GUCUUUUUGUAGUAUUAUAAAAAGUUUGGCCUGCCCCAGUGAGAUUUUUAACGGCCGCGGUAAUUUGACCGUGCAAAGGUAGCAUAAUCAUUAGUCUUUUAAUUGAAGGCUGGAAUGAAAGGCUUGACGGUGGAUAUCUGUCUUAAUUUAUUUUAUUUGAAUUUUAGUAUUUUGUGAAGACGCAAUAGAUGUUUUUAUUAGACGAGAAGACCCUAUCAAGUUUUAUUUUUAUUCGUGUUUUAUUUCUGAUUGAAAAUGUGUUAAAGAUUUCGCUGGGGCGGUAGGUAUGUUUUUAUGUAGCAUGAUAUUUUCUGGAUUUUUGUUAAGACUUAAAGUUGUUUUGAUCCAAUUUUUUUGAUAAUUAGAUAAAAUUACUGUAGGGAUAACAGCGUGAUUAUAUUGGAGAGUUCAUAUUGAUAAUAUAGUUUGCGACCUCGAUGUUGGAUUAAAAUUCCUUUUGGUUGAAGGAGGCCAUUAAGGUAGUCUGUUCGACUAUUAAAAUUUUACA
rnacentral:rRNA from 1 species